UUUAUACUCCCUCCAUCCUAAAUUUUUUGUCUUUGUUUUGUCUAGAUAUGAAUGUAUCUAGUCAUGUGUUAGUAUUUAGAUAUAUUCAUUUCUAGACAAACGUAAGACAAGAGUUUUGGGACGAAGGAAGUACUAA
rfam:Hordeum vulgare subsp. vulgare, WGS project CAJW01000000 data, contig: morex_contig_244167